rnacentral:rRNA from 1 species
CCUACGGGUGGCUGCAGUGGGGAAUAUUGGACAAUGGGCGAAAGCCUGAUCCAGCCAUGCCGCGUGUGUGAAGAAGGCCUUCGGGUUGUAAAGCACUUUCAGUGGGGAAGAAAGCCUUGGGGCUAAUACCCUCGAGGAAGGACAUCACCCACAGAAGAAGCACCGGCUAACUCCGUGCCAGCAGCCGCGGUAAUACGGAGGGUGCGAGCGUUAAUCGGAAUUACUGGGCGUAAAGCGCGCGUAGGCGGUCUGAUAAGCCGGUUGUGAAAGCCCCGGGCUCAACCUGGGAACGGCAUCCGGAACUGUCAGGCUAGAGUGCAGGAGAGGAAGGUAGAAUUCCCGGUGUAGCGGUGAAAUGCGUAGAGAUCGGGAGGAAUACCAGUGGCGAAGGCGGCCUUCUGGACUGACACUGACGCUGAGGUGCGAAAGCAUGGGUAGCAAACAGGAUUAGAUACCCGUGUAGUC